rnacentral:rRNA from 1 species
GGGGGAACUGAAACAUCUAAGUACCCCGAGGAAAAGAAAUCAACCGAGAUUCCCCCAGUAGCGGCGAGCGAACGGGGAGCAGCCCAGAGCCUGAAUCAGUGUGUGUGUUAGUGGAAGCGUCUGGAAAGGCGCGCGAUACAGGGUGACAGCCCCGUACACAAAAAUGCACAUGCUGUGAGCUCGAUGAGUAGGGCGGGACACGUGGUAUCCUGUCUGAAUAUGGGGGGACCAUCCUCCAAGGCUAAAUACUCCUGACUGACCGAUAGUGAACCAGUACCGUGAGGGAAAGGCGAAAAGAACCCCGGCGAGGGGAGUGAAAAAGAACCUGAAACCGUGUACGUACAAGCAGUGGGAGCACGCUUAGGCGUGUGACUGCGUACCUUUUGUAUAAUGGGUCAGCGACUUAUAUUCUGUAGCAAGGUUAACCGAAUAGGGGAGCCGAAGGGAAACCGAGUCUUAACUGGGCGUUAAGUUGCAGGGUAUAGACCCGAAACCCGGUGAUCUAGCCAUGGGCAGGUUGAAGGUUGGGUAACACUAACUGGAGGACCGAACCGACUAAUGUUGAAAAAUUAGCGGAUGACUUGUGGCUGGGGGUGAAAGGCCAAUCAAACCGGGAGAUAGCUGGUUCUCCCCGAAAGCUAUUUAGGUAGCGCCUCGUGAAUUCAUCUCCGGGGGUAGAGCACUGUUUCGGCAAGGGGGUCAUCCCGACUUACCAACCCGAUGCAAACUGCGAAUACCGGAGAAUGUUAUCACGGGAGACACACGGCGGGUGCUAACGUCCGUCGUGAAGAGGGAAACAACCCAGACCGCCAGCUAAGGUCCCAAAGUCAUGGUUAAGUGGGAAACGAUGUGGGAAGGCCCAGACAGCCAGGAUGUUGGCUUAGAAGCAGCCAUCAUUUAAAGAAAGCGUAAUAGCUCACUGGUCGAGUCGGCCUGCGCGGAAGAUGUAACGGGGCUAAACCAUG